rnacentral:siRNA from 1 species
GCUGGCCAUUCGGUUGGGGA